CCCAGGCGCCCCGCGUGUGUUCUUAUAAAUGGGCAUAGAUGCAUCACCUAGCAGUCCCUCCCGGACUUCCCACCUGCAAAAGGGCGGCCCCACCACCUGCCGGAAGAUCUGCCGGCUUGGGCUUUGGAGCAUGAGUGCUCCAGCUCAACUGUUUGCCUGUCGACGGUCCCUCUGGCAUCGCUGGACCUUUUCGGGGAUUGGACUUGGGACUCCUCUCCUCCUGGCUGUGUUUGGAUUCCAGCCUUCCCCGGUUGGACCUCCCUGCUCAGUUCCUUGGGUCAUUCCCAGGCAGUCUCGCCUGGAUACAGUUCCCCUCCUGUGCGGGCUGCUCCCCCAGGGACUGGGGCCGCCAUCCCCGUCUGCCCCAGGCUCCCUGGCCCACGGCCUGGCCCACAGCCGUGCUGGAACACGAGCGUGAUGGAUGAUUCCAGUGCCUCAGCUCCUAUCUUGCAAUCAUCCGAUGGCUCCCCUCCCCUUACAGUCUUCUCCCUUCACUGAUGGUUUUGGAUGGAAUUUAAAAUAAAAAAGAUUGAUUAAAAGUUGGAAACUGUGUA
rnacentral:lncRNA from 1 species